rnacentral:rRNA from 1 species
GUAAGGAAUAUUGCGCAAUGGGCGAAAGCCUGACGCAGCGACGCCGCGUGGGGGAUGAAGGUCUUCGGAUUGUAAACCCCUUUUGGGAGGGAAAAUGGGACGAGCAAUCGUCCGGAUGGUACCUCCAGAAAAAGCCACGGCUAACUUCGUGCCAGCAGCCGCGGUAAUACGAAGGUGGCAAGCGUUGUUCGGAUUUACUGGGCGUACAGGGAGCGUAGGCGGUUUGGUAAGCCCUCCGUGAAAUCUUCGGGCUCAACCCGGAAAGUUCAGAGGGGACUGCCAGGCUAGAGGACGGGAGAGGAGCGCGGAAUUCCCGGUGUAGCGGUGAAAUGCGUAGAGAUCGGGAGGAAGGCCGGUGGCGAAGGCGGCGCUCUGGAACGUUUCUGACGCUGAGGCUCGAAAGCGUGGGGAGCAAACAGGAUUAGAAACCCCGGUAGUCC